rnacentral:rRNA from 1 species
UGGGGAAUUUUGGACAAUGGGCGAAAGCCUGAUCCAGCCAUGCCGCGUGCAGGAUGAAGGCCUUCGGGUUGUAAACUGCUUUUGUACGGAACGAAAAGACUCUGGUUAAUACCUGGGGUCCAUGACGGUACCGUAAGAAUAAGCACCGGCUAACUACGUGCCAGCAGCCGCGGUAAUACGUAGGGUGCAAGCGUUAAUCGGAAUUACUGGGCGUAAAGCGUGCGCAGGCGGUUAUAUAAGACAGAUGUGAAAUCCCCGGGCUCAACCUGGGAACUGCAUUUGUGACUGUAUAGCUAGAGUACGGUAGAGGGGGAUGGAAUUCCGCGUGUAGCAGUGAAAUGCGUAGAUAUGCGGAGGAACACCGAUGGCGAAGGCAAUCCCCUGGACCUGUACUGACGCUCAUGCACGAAAGCGUGGGGAGCAAACAG